AGAGCGAACGCUGGCGGCAGGCCUAACACAUGCAAGUCGAGCGCGUGUAGCAAUACACGAGCGGCAGACGGGAGAGUAACACGUGGGAACGCGCCCUUCGGUUCGGAAUAACUCAGGAAAACUUGAGCUAAUACCGGAUACGCCCUUACGGGGAAAGAUUUAUUGCCGAAGGAACGGCCCGCGUCCGAUUAGCUAGUUGGUGAGGUAACGGCUCACCAAGGCGACGAUCGGUAGCUGGUCUGAGAGGAUGACCAGCCUCACUGGGACUGAGACACGGCCCAGACUCCUACGGGAGGCAGCAGUGGGGAAUAUUGGACAAUGGGCGCAAGCCUGAUCCAGCCAUGCCGCGUGGAUGAUGAAGGCCUUAGGGUUGUAAAGUCCUUUUAACGGGGAAGAUAAUGACGGUACCCGUAGAAUAAGCCCCGGCUAACUUCGCGCCAGCAGCCGC
rnacentral:rRNA from 1 species